AACGAACGCUGGCGGCAUGCCUAACACAUGCAAGUCGAACGAGACCUUCGGGUCUAGUGGCGCACGGGUGCGUAACGCGUGGGAACCUGCCCUUAGGUUCGGAAUAACUCCCCGAAAGGGGUGCUAAUACCGGAUAAUGUCUUCGGACCAAAGAUUUAUCGCCUUUGGAUGGGCCCGCGUUGGAUUAGCUAGUUGGUAGGGUAAAAGCCUACCAAGGCGACGAUCCAUAGCUGGUCUAAGAGGAUGAUCAGCCACACUGGGACUGAGACACGGCCCAGACUCCUACGGAAGGCAGCAGUGGGGAAUAUUGGACAAUGGGCGAAAGCCUGAUCCAGCAAUGCCGCGUGAGUGAUGAAGGCCUUAGGGUUGUAAAGCUCUUUUACCCGGGAUGAUAAUGACAGUACCGGGAGAAUAAGCUCCGGCUAACUCCGUG
rnacentral:rRNA from 1 species